ACUUAUUCUUUGCAGGGGUUAUAUUGAUACAUAAGCAGCUUCAGGGAGGAGAGGAGUAAGAUAGAAAACAGCAUUUGGAUACAAGUAUAAAUUUGUCAGGUUCAACAAGCAGUAUGUUAACAGAUCCUGCGAUCACCUAGCAGACCAACUUGCUGAAGCUGCUAGCUGUAGCAGGCUUUGAGACUGACAUAUGCUUACAAACACAGUGUGUGUUGGACAGAGUGGUUAUUGGGUAGUGACAAACAUUUCA